GAUGAACGCUAGCGGCAGGCUUAACACAUGCAAGUCGAGGGGUAACGGGGAAGCUUGCUUCCGCCGACGACCGGCGCACGGGUGCGUAACGCGUAUACAAUCUACCUUAUACUGGGGUAUAGCCUUUAGAAAUGAAGAUUAACCCCCCAUAGUCUCUUAGAGUGGCAUCACUUCUAGAGUAAAGGUUACGGUAUAAGAUGAGUAUGCGUUCUAUCAGUUUGUUGGUGUGGUAACGGCACACCAAGACUACGAUAGAUAGGGGCCCUGAGAGGGGGAUCCCCCACACUGGUACUGAGACACGGACCAGACUCCUACGGGAGGCAGCAGUGAGGAAUAUUGGACAAUGGAGGCAACUCUGAUCCAGCCAUGCCGCGUGCAGGAAGACUGCCCUAUGGGUUGUAAACUGCUUUUAUACAGGAAGAAACACCUCUACGUGUAGAGGCUUGACGGUACUGUAAGAAUAAGGAUCGGCUAACUCCGUGCCAGCAGCCGCGGUAAUACGGAGGAUCCAAGCGUUAUCCGGAAUCAUUGGGUUUAAAGGGUCCGUAGGUGGAUAAUUAAGUCAGAGGUGAAAUCUUGCAGCUCAACUGUAAAAUUGCCUUUGAAACUGGUUAUCUUGAGUUAUUAUGAAGUAGUUAGAAUAUGUAGUGUAGCGGUGAAAUGCAUAGAUAUUACAUAGAAUACCAAUUGCGAAGGCAGAUUACUAAUAAUCAACUGACACUGAUGGACGAAAGCGUGGGUAGCGAACAGGAUUAGAUACCCUGGUAGUCCACGCCGUAAACGAUGGUUACUAGCUGUUUGGACUUCGGUCUGAGUGGCUAAGCGAAAGUGAUAAGUAACCCACCUGGGGAGUACGUUCGCAAGAAUGAAACUCAAAGGAAUUGACGGGGGCCCGCACAAGCGGUGGAGCAUGUGGUUUAAUUCGAUGAUACGCGAGGAACCUUACCAGGGCUUAAAUGUAAGUUGCAUUAGUUAGAGAUAGCUAUUUCUUCGGACCACUUACAAGGUGCUGCAUGGUUGUCGUCAGCUCGUGCCGUGAGGUGUCAGGUUAAGUCCUAUAACGAGCGCAACCCCUGUUGUUAGUUGCCAGCGAGUCAUGUCGGGAACUCUAGCAAGACUGCCAGUGCAAACUGUGAGAAAGGUGGGGAUGACGUCAAAUCAUCACGGCCCUUACGUCCUGGGCUACACACGUGCUACAAUGGUAGGUACAGAGAGCAGCCACUGCGCGAGCAGGAGCGAAUCUACAAAACCUAUCUCAGUUCGGAUCGGAGUCUGCAACUCGACUCCGUGAAGCUGGAAUCGCUAGUAAUCGGAUAUCAGCCAUGAUCCGGUGAAUACGUUCCCGGGCCUUGUACACACCGCCCGUCAAGCCAUGGAAGCUGGGAGUGCCUGAAGUCCGUCACCGCAAGGAGCGGCCUAGGGUAAAAUCGGUAACUAGGGC
rnacentral:rRNA from 1 species